ensembl:lncRNA LOC120102900 uncharacterized LOC120102900
CACGCACCGUGAAGCUUCCUAGCACAGACCCAAAACCGGGCAGGGAGAGUUUGAGUGGGCGCCAUCUUAACUCAGGGCAGAACCUGUGCUCUUGAGCCUGCAAUACUAGGAGAAAAGAAGCGGCAACCAUGUUUUGUGUGUGAGGGCAAUCGGGCCGAAGCCAAGAAGAGCGCCAUAUUUGUUGAGGCCUAAAAGUGACAUCAUUCCCAUCAGCUGUUUGGGCUAUCUGGAGCCAUCUCCUUGACAACAGCCAUCCAGUCACAAAGACAGCAUUAUUACUUCCUUGGAAGAGGGCAUUCUGCAUGGCUGGAAGUGGCCUGCAGCUUCUGGAAGGACACACAUCAAGCAGUGAGAAAACAAGAGGCAUCAGCUAGCCAGCCAGAUCAGCCAGAUUAACCCUGCUAAUGAACUGAGUGACAGAAGCCACAACCAGAUCCUCUUUACCUCCCAACUGGAAGAUCAUGGGAUCUUUAAAAGAUAGAGCCUACUUUAGGGAAGGCAGGUCUUCAGAAGCAAUAAUGAUUCAAAAUACACCUUUCAUCUUUAUGAGUUGAUUAUCUCAAGCACCUUUCUUUCACUAUGAACAGACUUUUAAAAAAGCAAACUAGAUUCUGAAAGGAAGAAAGAUAUUUGUCAAAGACCAAAUUUCACUUCUUAGGUUUUCAUUAGGAACAGUUUCAGACUUAAAAAAAUAUUGUAAAAGUAGUGUGAUG